CGGAAGGGUUAGUAAUACAUGAAUAACCUGCCUUUAACCUGGGGAUAACGGUUGGAAACGACCGCUAAUACCGAAUGAGGUCAUUUUAAGUGCGCUUAGAUUGAUCAAAGUGGGGGACCUUAGGGCCUUGCGGUUAAAGAGGGGUUCAUGUGAUAUCAGCUUGUUGGUGUGGUAAAGGCGCACCAAGGCUAAGACGUCUAGGCGAGUUGAGAGAUUGACCGCCAACAUUGGAACUGAGACACUGUCCAA
rnacentral:rRNA from 1 species